rnacentral:rRNA from 1 species
GACGAACGCUGGCGGCGUGCUUAACACAUGCAAGUCGAGCGGUAAGGCCCUUUCGGGGGUACACGAGCGGCGAACGGGUUGAGUAACACGUGGGUGACCUGCCCUCAGCUCUGGGAUAAGCCUGGGAAACCGGGUCUAAUACUGGAUAUGACUCCAUGACGCAUGUUGUGGGGUGGAAAGCCUUGUGCGGCUGAGGAUGGGCCCGCGGCCUAUCAGCUUGUUGGUGGGGUGANGGCCUACCAAGGCGACGACGGUAGCCGGCCUGAGAGGGCGACCGGCCACACUGGGACUGAGACACGGCCCAGACUCCUACGGGAGGCAGCAGUGGGGAAUCUUGCGCAAUGGGCGAAAGCCUGACGCAGCGAC